rnacentral:rRNA from 1 species
GUGGGGAAUCUUGCGCAAUGGGCGAAAGCCUGACGCAGCCAUGCCGCGUGAAUGAUGAAGGUCUUAGGAUUGUAAAAUUCUUUCACCGGGGACGAUAAUGACGGUACCCGGAGAAGAAGCCCCGGCUAACUUCGUGCCAGCAGCCGCGGUAAUACGAAGGAGGCUAGCGUUGCUCGGAAUUACUGGGCGUAAAGGGCGCGUAGGCGGAUCGUUAAGUCAGGGGUGAAAUCCCAGAGCUCAACUCUGGAACUGCCCUUGAUACUGGCGAUCUUGAGUGUGAGAGAGGUAUGUGGAACUCCGAGUGUAGAGGUGAAAUUCGUAGAUAUUCGGAAGAACACCAGUGGCGAAGGCGACAUACUGGCUCAUUACUGACGCUGAGGCGCGAAAGCGUGGGGAGCAAACAGGAUUAGAAACCCCUGUAGUCC